CUUGGGCAGCCAAGUUUGUCUGUGCCUAGCCACCACUACAGCCACCUCUCUCUCCAUCUCUCUCUCUCUCGCUCUCCUCCUCUCUCUCUCCUCUCUCUCCUUCUCUCUCUCCCUCUCUCUCCAUCUCUCUCUCCACCUCUCUCUCCAUCUCUCUCUCUACAUCUCUCUCUCUAUCUCUCUCCUCCUCUCUCUCCAUCUCUUUCUCCUCCUCUCUCUCCUCCUCUCUCUCCAUCUCUCUCUCCACCUCUCUCUCUCCUCUCUCUCCACCUCUCUCUCCUCCUCUCUCUCCACCUCUCUCUCCUCUCUCCAUCUCUCUCCUCUCUCUCCUCCUCUCUCUCUAUCUCUCUCCUCCUCUCUCUCUCCUCUCUCUCCUUCUCUCUCCUCCUCUCUCUCCAUCUCUCUCUCCAUCUCUCUCUCCACCUCUCUCUCCUCCUCUCUCUCCAUCUCUCUCUCCAUCUCUCUCUCCAUCUCUCUCUCCACCUCUCUCUCCUCCUCUCUCUCCAUCUCUCUCCUCCUCUCUCUCCAUCUCUCUCUCCACCUCUCUCUCCUCCUCUCUCUCCACCUCUCUCUCCACCUCUCUCUCCUCCUCUCUCUCUAUCUCUCUCCUCCUCUCUCUCCAUCUCUCUCUCCAUCUCUCUCUCUCUCGCUCUCCUCCUCUCUCUCUCCUCUCUCUCCUCCUCUCUCUCUCCUCUCUCUCCUUCUCUCUCUCCCUCUCUCUCCAUCUCUCUCUCCACUCUCUCCUCCUCUCUCUCCACCUCUCUCUCUGUUAUUUGUCCACCUCUCUCUCCUCCUUUCUCUCCUCCUCUCUCUACAUCUCUCUCUCUAUCUCUCUCCUCCUCUCUCUCCAUCUCUCUCUCCAUCUCUCUCUCCACCUCUCUCUCCUCCUCUCUCUCCAUCUCUCUCUCUGUUAUUUGUCCUCCAGCAGUGUAGGCUCAGCUCAGUGCCAAGACAGGUGGGUUUUCCCGGGGGAAUGGAAAAGGUGCUUUACAUAUGUUGUGUUGUGUUCCCUUGGAAACAGGUCCGGUGGCAGGAGAGCAGGCCACAGAGGUGCUAAACAUUAAAUGACACUCUGUUGGAAGAGAGAGAGAGAGAGAGAUAGAGAGAGAGAGAGAGAGAGAGAGAGAGAGAGAAUCACACAGCUGUGCCUACUUUUGGGCAGAAGAGAAAGAGAGAGAGACAGAGAAAGAGAGAGGGAGACAGAAAGAAAGAGAGAGGGAGGGAGAGAGAAAGAGAAAGAAAGAGAGAGGGAGAGGGAAUCAC
rnacentral:lncRNA from 1 species